rnacentral:lncRNA from 1 species
AAACCAGGCUAAAGUUAUCAAGAGACUUAUCCAAGCUCUGAAGCUGUCCAAGAACAACCAGCCGUCAAGUGAUGCCACCGCUAAUGCAGUUAACUGUUCUGUUGAGAAAAGUACACCUGACAUGCCUGAGGGUGUGACAAUUCCUGAUGGGUUAGUUGGGCCGGCUAGCCUGGUGCUGCUGAAGGUUAAUGGACAACCUUGCACUGCUCUGUUAGAUAGUGGCUCUCAGGUGACGAUCAUUUUUGAACACUGGUACCUGAAGCACUUGUCUGAUAUCCCCAUUCAGCCAGUAUCUGGUCUUUCCCUGUGGGGUUUAAGUGAGUCUGGAGCUAGCUACCCUUACCGUGGCUACGUGGUAGUUGAUGUGGAGUAUCCAGCUGAGGUGUUAGGAACCAGUCAGACUGUAACUGUCCUAUCUCUCAUAUGUCCUAACCCUAGGACUGAAGAUAAUACGUCUGUCAUUGUGGGCACCAAUGCGAGCCAUGUUAGACGUUUGGUGAAUCAAUGCAAAGAGAAUGGCAUUGAUGUCACCCGAACACUAGGUCUUCGUGUUCAUGUUGAGGAAGAUCCACCUGUGCUAAAGGGUGUUGUGGUCCCAGUCCAAGAGGAGGAGGCUGGCCAUGUCCUAUGGAUGGGUCCAGGCCCCUUGGUCUUACCCCCAGAUGGUGACACUCAGGUUGUGUGCAAAGUCGAGUUGAAUAAACCUGUUGCUCAAGAAAUCCUGAUGAUAGAUUCCUCACCAACAGCUGCCUUACCUGCUGAUGUGAUUUUUCAUCCCAUGGUUGUGCCCAGUGGGGCAUUGGAUGACAACAGUUUGAGAAUAUUACUAAAAAAUGACUCUUCAAGAGAAACUUCCAUACCUGUGGGAACAGUGAUUGGAUGUGUGUACCACAUUGAUUCAGUUGCGACGAUUCCCCCUAAGGAGACUGCUUCCUCUGACUUUGAUGAGAGCAUGAUCAACUUUGGGGACUCUCCUAUCUCAGAACAAUGGAAGAACAGAUUAUGUAAGAAACUGGCUCCGAAGUUUCAUGUAUUCUCAAUGCAUGAGUGGGACGUGGGAUUAGCAAGAGGAGUAGAGCACAGAAUUCGUCUCUCUGAUUCCCGGCCUUUCCGUCAACGAUCACGCCGGCUAGCCCCUGCAGAUAUCGAAGAUGUGAGACAGCAUUUACAAGAACUGCUGCAGGCAGGGAUCAUAACAGAGUCGCGAAGCCCCUAUGCAUCCCCAAUAGUUGUAGUCAGAAAGAAGACUGGGGCUAUUAGGAUGUGUAUAGAUUACCGA